rnacentral:tRNA from 1 species
GGCUCAGUGGUCUAAUGGUAUGACACUCACUAUGUAGUUUCCUGCUUAUUUCAGGCAGAGGGUGGGUGAUCUGGGUUCAAUUCCCAGCUGAGCCA